rnacentral:rRNA from 1 species
AAAUUGAAGAGUUUGAUCAUGGCUCAGAUUGAACGCUGGCGGCAGGCCUAACACAUGCAAGUCGAACGGUAACAGGAAGCAGCUUGCUGCUUUGCUGACGAGUGGCGGACGGGUGAGUAAUGUCUGGGAAACUGCCUGAUGGAGGGGGAUAACUACUGGAAACGGUGGCUAAUACCGCAUAAUGUCGCAAGACCAAAGAGGGGGACCUUCGGGCCUCUUGCCAUCAGAUGUGCCCAGAUGGGAUUAGCUUGUUGGUGAGGUAACGGCUCACCAAGGCGACGAUCCCUAGCUGGUCUGAGAGGAUGACCAGCCACACUGGAACUGAGACACGGUCCAGACUCCUACGGGAGGCAGCAGUGGGGGAUAUUGCACAAUGGGCGCAAGCCUGAUGCAGCCAUGCCGCGUGUAUGAAGAAGGCCUUCGGGUUGUAAAGUACUUUCAGCGGGGAGGAAGGUGUUGUGGUUAAUAACCGCAGCAAUUGACGUUACCCGCAGAAGAAGCACCGGCUAACUCCGUGCCAGCAGCCGCGGUAAUACGGAGGGUGCAAGCGUUAAUCGGAAUUACUGGGCGUAAAGCGCACGCAGGCGGUCUGUCAAGUCGGAUGUGAAAUCCCCGGGCUCAACCUGGGAACUGCAUUCGAAACUGGCAGGCUUGAGUCUUGUAGAGGGGGGUAGAAUUCCAGGUGUAGCGGUGAAAUGCGUAGAGAUCUGGAGGAAUACCGGUGGCGAAGGCGGCCCCCUGGACAAAGACUGACGCUCAGGUGCGAAAGCGUGGGGAGCAAACAGGAUUAGAUACCCUGGUAGUCCACGCCGUAAACGAUGUCUACUUGGAGGUUGUGCCCUUGAGGCGUGGCUUCCGGAGCUAACGCGUUAAGUAGACCGCCUGGGGAGUACGGCCGCAAGGUUAAAACUCAAAUGAAUUGACGGGGGCCCGCACAAGCGGUGGAGCAUGUGGUUUAAUUCGAUGCAACGCGAAGAACCUUACCUGGUCUUGACAUCCACGGAAGAAUUCAGAGAUGGAUUUGUGCCUUCGGGAACCGUGAGACAGGUGCUGCAUGGCUGUCGUCAGCUCGUGUUGUGAAAUGUUGGGUUAAGUCCCGCAACGAGCGCAACCCUUAUCCUUUGUUGCCAGCGGUCCGGCCGGGAACUCAAAGGAGACUGCCAGUGAUAAACUGGAGGAAGGUGGGGAUGACGUCAAGUCAUCAUGGCCCUUACGACCAGGGCUACACACGUGCUACAAUGGCGCAUACAAAGAGAAGCGACCUCGCGAGAGCAAGCGGACCUCAUAAAGUGCGUCGUAGUCCGGAUUGGAGUCUGCAACUCGACUCCAUGAAGUCGGAAUCGCUAGUAAUCGUGGAUCAGAAUGCCACGGUGAAUACGUUCCCGGGCCUUGUACACACCGCCCGUCACACCAUGGGAGUGGGUUGCAAAAGAAGUAGGUAGCUUAACCUUCGGGAGGGCGCUUACCACUUUGUGAUUCAUGACUGGGGUGAAGUCGUAACAAGGUAACCGUAGGGGAACCUGCGGUUGGAUCACCUCCUUACCUUAAAGAAGC